rnacentral:rRNA from 1 species
UACGUAGGGGGGCAAGCGUUGUCCGGAUUUAUUGGGCGUAAAGAGCGUGUAGGCGGCCAGGUAGGUCCGUUGUGAAAACUCGAGGCUCAACCUCGAGACGCCGAUGGAAACCAUCUGGCUAGAGUCCGGAAGAGGAGAGUGGAAUUCCCGGUGUAGCGGUGAAAUGCGCAGAUAUCGGGAAGAACACCCGUGGCUAAGGCGGCUCUCUAGUACGGUACUGACGCUGAGACGCGAAAAGCGUGGGGGAGCGAACAGG